GGGGCCGGUAGAUGUAGUCAGGAACAUGGCUGGUGUAGAUGAUCAGAAAUCAGCGCUUUCUUUACCUAAACACUCGUACUGGUUCGAUUUCUGGCUCUUUAUUCUAUUCGAUGUUGUAUUUUUUCUCUUUGUGUAUUUUUUAAUUCCGUAGCAGUGUGCAGAAGCUGAGCGGGAUGGGAGCACUGGGACCAGGACCAGAUCAGGUGGAUCAUCUGGAGAAGACAUGACACUUGGGGGGUUGCGACUGUUUCCGGUGCCCACGGUGUCCACGCUCGUCACCCUGCUGACCGCACUGACUCCCGGAUUCCCAGAAUGCAACACUGAACCGCAGCAGCACUGGCUCAAUGCCGCACCUUCUCAUUCCUUUCUCGUUAUAAAGCUCGUUAUUAAGGACUGUUAAUUAAAGCUAAUUUAUUUUUCCUGA